CCUACGGGUGGCAGCAGUGAGGAAUAUUGGUCAAUGGACGAAAGUCUGAACCAGCCAUGCCGCGUGCAGGAUGACGGCCCUAUGAGUUGUAAACUGCUUUUGUACGAGGGUAAACCUCGAUACGUGUGUUCCGCUGAAAGUACCGUACGAAUAAGGCUCGGCUAACUCCGUGCCAGCAGCCGCGGUAAUCCGGAGGGUCCAGGCGUUAUCCGGAUUUAUUGGGUUUAAAGGGUGCGUAGGCGGAUUGAUAAGUUAGCGGUGAAAUGGCCGGUCUCAACCCGGGCACUGCCUCUAAUACUGUUGUGCUAGAGAGUGGGUGAGGUAGGCGGAAUGUGUGGUGUAGCGGUGAAAUGCUUAGAGAUCAUACAGAACACCGAUUGCGAAGGCAGCAUACCAAGGUAUAACUGACGCUGAGGCACGAAAGCGUGGGGAGCGAACAGGAUUAGAUACCCGAGUAGUC
rnacentral:rRNA from 1 species